ACCGGCAGCUCAAGUGGUGGCCAUUAUUAUUGGGCCUAAAGCGUUCGUAGCCGGUUUGAUAAGUCUCUGGUGAAAUCCCGCAGCUUAACUGUGGGACUUGCUGGAGAUACUAUCAGACUUGAGGUCGGGAGAGGUUAGGGGUACUCCCAGGGUAGAGGUGAAAUCCUAUAAUAUUGGGAGGACCACCUGUGGCGAAGGCGGCUAACUGGAACGUACCUGACGGUGAGCAACGAAAGCCAGGGGCGCGAACAG
rnacentral:rRNA from 1 species